UUUCUCUCUCAAAUCUGGGUUCACAAUAGGAGAUAAAGAGAUGGUGUCCUUGGUGCUUUACAGGUAUUCGCAUUAAGAAGUAUGUGAAGGUUCGACAUGGGGAAGACAUUGGAGUUAGAUUUUUUCCGUUGAGGUCUCUUGUGAUGGUUCGGAGAUCAAGCCGAUUCUUAUCCUAGUUACACCGAAAUUUGUUGCCAUCGUCACCAUCUACAGCUUCGCCAUCUGUACCACCGGACCACCCUUCUUCUCCUCGUUUUGAACCCACCGGAAGUGUGAAGAAAUGGUUCUUCCCAUUUGCGAGGCAACGUAUAUGUCCACUAUAAGUCGUUGGAUUCAGCUGUGAUGGCUUACAGUUCUGUACAUGGUCGUUAUUUUACUGGCAAACAGGCAUGAUGACUGCUAGCAAUUUCAAAGGGCUUAACGCUAUGGCAGUGAUUUGGAAAUGUAACUGCAAGUAGCACAACUACCAGCGAUAAGUAUUUCAGAUAUAGCGGUUCCCUUACAACUCCUCCAUGCUCGGAGGGUAUCACUUGGACAGUUGCCGAAAAGGUCAAAACAAUUUCAAAGGACCAAAUUGCUAAAAGGGGCUGUUGAUCAUGAAUUUCAACAUAAUGCAAGGCCUGUCCAAGAUCUUAAUGGAAGAACAGUUACACAAUUUGAAGACAGAGUUAAAUGUGAGUUUGUUAGUCUAACUAGAUGGAAGGUUGCCAUAUGCUGGGAGUACAUGAAAGCAAGGCUCAAGGAAUCUCUCACAAUCGGUUGAUUUUACUUUCAAUUUGUACUCGGAUCAUGCGACUUUGGUGUUGAAGGUGCAUACAGGCUGAUUCGGCGAUCUAGGGUUCGGUCGACGGUUUCAAGGGUCAUGUUGUCAUCAAAGUUCGUUGCCAGGUACAAACUUUCAUGUUGGUGAUGACAUGUAGGAGAGUAGGAAAAGCUUCAAAAAAUUCAAGCAUAAUUAGAGAGAGAACGAGAGGCCUGACAAAACAUAGAAUCCCGUUUUGAAAAAUUUCAACAAGAGCGCGAAAAAGAGCGGACUGACCAAGCGGCAUGGCAAAAAACUACGGAAGAAAAACUGAAAAACAACGAAAAUAAGUAAAAACUUUCGUCUUGUUAAGUAUUGAAAUGUUAAAGAUUGGAUGAAUGCUUUUAAUAAGGAUUUUUUGUGCGUUUUGUAAUGUUUUAGAAUUUUUCGAAUGUUUGGAAUGUCUCAUAAUGUUGCUU
rnacentral:lncRNA from 1 species